rnacentral:rRNA from 1 species
UACGGAGGGUGCAAACGUUGCUCGGAAUCAUUGGGCGUAAAGCGCACGUAGGUGGCCUGUUAAGUCGGGUGUGAAAUCCCUGGGCUCAACCCAGGAAGUGCACUCGAAACUGGCAGGCUUGAGUACUGAAGAGGAUCGCGGAAUUCCCGGUGUAGAGGUGAAAUUCGUAGAUAUCGGGAGGAACACCAGUGGCGAAGGCGGCGAUCUGGGCAGAUACUGACGCUGAGGAGCGAAAGCGUGGGGAGCGAACAGG